UACGGAGGGGGCUAGCGUUGUUCGGAAUUACUGGGCGUAAAGCGCACGUAGGCGGCUUUGUAAGUCAGAGGUGAAAGCCCGGGGCUCAACCCCGGAUGUGCCUUUGAGACUGCAUCGCUUGAACACGGGAGAGGUGAGUGGAAUUCCGAGUGUAGAGGUGAAAUUCGUAGAUAUUCGGAAGAACACCAGUGGCGAAGGCGACUUACUGGUCCAUUACUGACGCUGAGGCUCGAAAGCGUGGGGAGCAAACAGG
rnacentral:rRNA from 1 species